rnacentral:hammerhead_ribozyme from 1 species
AUCCAGUGGGUGACGAGUGCUAAAUAGGACGAAAUACGCAUCCUGGAU